UGGGGAAUAUUGGACAAUGGGCGAAAGCCUGAUCCAGCCAUGCCGCGUGUGUGAAGAAGGUCUUCGGAUUGUAAAGCACUUUAAGUUGGGAGGAAGGGCAUUAACCUAAUACGUUAGUGUUUUGACGUUACCGACAGAAUAAGCACCGGCUAACUCUGUGCCAGCAGCCGCGGUAAUACAGAGGGUGCAAGCGUUAAUCGGAAUUACUGGGCGUAAAGCGCGCGUAGGUGGUUUGUUAAGUUGGAUGUGAAAUCCCCGGGCUCAACCUGGGAACUGCAUUCAAAACUGACUGACUAGAGUAUGGUAGAGGGUGGUGGAAUUUCCUGUGUAGCGGUGAAAUGCGUAGAUAUAGGAAGGAACACCAGUGGCGAAGGCGACCACCUGGACUAAUACUGACACUGAGGUGCGAAAGCGUGGGGAGCGAACA
rnacentral:rRNA from 1 species